GCGCCGACAUUUGCCAUCUGGGUGAAAGCCGGCGUGAAGUUGGACGCGGCGACGUCACCUCUCCUCGUUAACGUUCAGUGCGUUGAUGACAGAUCGCCGGCGAAUAUCAUAACCGAAACGUUCACGGUUCCCUUACUUGAUAAGCCUCCGACGUUCGUUACGGGAAUUCCCGGCACAUCUCCGUCUAUUUCCGACUCGACCGUCACCGCGACGUCACUCGGUGUCUUCACCGUUACCGAUCCCGACACGACAGGCAGUAUUACGUCAUCGCUGACGUCAGUGUAUGAGAUCAGACCCGUGACGUCACCGGCAGAUCUUCAAAAGCCGGAGUUCCGAGUGUGGGUCAGUGCCGCCGUUACACAAGCGUCUAUAGACUUCAAUGACCAGGCGGUUCCGUUGCCGUUGACGAUCACGUGUACGGAUGGAAACACCGCCAUCACGGGAACGUUCAACGUCAAUAUUGUCG